GACAGAGGGGGCGAGCGUUGUCCGGAGUCACUGGGCGUAAAGCGCUUGUAGGCGGCUUCGUAAGUUGGGCGUGAAAGCUCCGGGCUUAACCCGGAGAGGCCGUCCAAUACUGCGGAGCUCGAGGGUGCCAGAGGAAGGUGGAAUUCCUGGUGUAGCGGUGAAAUGCGUAGAUAUCAGGAGGAACACCCGUGGCGAAGGCGGCUUUCUAGGGCAUUCCUGACGCUGAGACGCGAAAGCUAGGGGAGCAAACAGG
rnacentral:rRNA from 1 species